rnacentral:rRNA from 1 species
GGUGGGUGUGCCUGAAAGGGAACCGGAACACAGGUGCUGCAUGGCUGUCGUCAGCUCGUGUCGUGAGAUGUUGGGUUAAGUCCCGCAACGAGCGCAACCCUUGUCCCUAGUUGCUACGCAAGGGCACUCUAGGGAGACUGCCGGUGACAAACCGGAGGAAGGUGGGGAUGACGUCAAGUCCUCAUGGCCCUUAUGGGUAGGGCUUCACACGUCAUACAAUGGCCGGUACAGAGGGUUGCCAACCCGCGAGGGGGAGCCAAUCCCAGAAAGCCGGUCGUAGUCCGGAUUGCAGUCUGCAACUCGACUGCAUGAAGUCGGAAUCGCUAGUAAUCGCGGAUCAGCAUGUCGCGGUGAAUACGUUCCCGGGUCUUGUACACACCGCCCGUCACACCAUGGGAGCGGGAUGUACCAGAAGUAGGUAGGCUAACCGCAAGGGGGCCGCUUACCACGGUGCGUUUCGUGACUGGGGUGAAGUCGUAACAAGGUAACCGU